rnacentral:rRNA from 1 species
CCCUACGGGACGCAGCAGUGGGGAAUAUUGCACAAUGGGCGAAAGCCUGAUGCAGCAACGCCGCGUGAAGGAAGAAGGGUCUCGGCUCGUAAACUUCUAUCCACAGGGACGAAAGAAAUGACGGUACCUGGGGAGGAAGCUCCGGCUAACUACGUGCCAGCAGCCGCGGUAAUACGUAGGGAGCGAGCGUUGUCCGGAAUUACUGGGUGUAAAGGGAGCGUAGGCGGGACUGCAAGUUGGGUGUCAAAUCUACCGGCUCAACCGGUAGCCGCACUCAAAACUGCAGUUCUUGAGUGAAGUAGAGG